AACAUGACUCUUGGCAAUAGAUAUCUUGGCUCUUGCCAUGAUGUAGAAUCCCAUGAAUCAUCGAGUCUUUGAAGGCAAGUUGCACCUGAGGCUUCAACUGAGGGCACGUUUGCCUGGGCAUCGCAC
rnacentral:rRNA from 1 species